rnacentral:rRNA from 1 species
UGGGGAAUAUUGGACAAUGGGGGCAACCCUGAUCCAGCAAUGCCGCGUGUGUGAAGAAGGUCUUCGGAUUGUAAAGCACUUUCGACGGGGACGAUGAUGACGGUACCCGUAGAAGAAGCCCCGGCUAACUUCGUGCCAGCAGCCGCGGUAAUACGAAGGGGGCUAGCGUUGCUCGGAAUGACUGGGCGUAAAGGGCGUGUAGGCGGUUUACACAGUCAGAUGUGAAAUCCCCGGGCUUAACCUGGGAGCUGCAUUUGAUACGUGUAGACUAGAGUGUGAGAGAGGGUUGUGGAAUUCCCAGUGUAGAGGUGAAAUUCGUAGAUAUUGGGAAGAACACCGGUGGCGAAGGCGGCAACCUGGCUCAUGACUGACGCUGAGGCGCGAAAGCGUGGGGAGCAAACAGGAUUAGAUACCCUGGUAGUCCACGCCUGUAAACGAUGUGUGCUAGUGUUGGGUAACU